rnacentral:rRNA from 1 species
GACCUAGUAAUAGGUAUGCUUUAGGAGGGGCUUGCGCCAUAUUAGUUAGUUGGUAGGGUAAUGGCCUACCAAGACGAUGAUGUGUAGCUGGACUGAGAGGUUGAACAGCCACAUUGGGACUGAGACACGGCCCAAACUCCUACGGGAGGCAGCAGUAGGGAAUUUUCGGCAAUGGAGGAAACUCUGACCGAGCAACGCCGCGUGAAUGACGAAGUACUUCGGUAUGUAAAGUUCUUUUAUCAAGGAAGAAAAGCAAAUGGCGAACCAUUUGUUUGCCGGUACUUGAUGAAUAAGCCCCGGCUAAUUAUGUGCCAGCAGCCGCGGUAAGACAUAAGGGGCAAGUGUUAUCCGGAAUUAUUGGGCGUAAAGGGUGCGUAGGCGGUCUAGUAAGUCAGUGGUGUAAUGGCAACGCUUAACGUUGUCCGGCUAUUGAAACUGCUAAACUUGAGUUAGAUAGAGGCGAGUGGAAUUCCAUGUGUAGCGGUAAAAUGCGUAAAUAUAUGGAGGAACACCAGAGGCGUAGGCGGCUCGCUGGGUCUUAACUGACGCUGAGGCACGAAAGCGUGGGGAGCAAACAGGAUUAGAUACCCUGGUAGUCCACGCCGUAAACGAUGAGUACUAAGUGUCGGGUUAAACCGGUACUGAAGUUAACACAUUAAGUACUCCGCCUGAGUAGUACGUACGCAAGUAUGAAACUUAAAGGAAUUGACGGGACUCCGCACAAGCGGUGGAUCAUGUUGUUUAAUUCGAAGAUACCCGAAAAACCUUACCAGGUCUUGACAUGUUUUUGCAAAAUGAUAGUAAUAUCGUGGAGGUUACCAGAAACACAGGUGGUGCAUGGUUGUCGUCAGCUCGUGUCGUGAGAUGUUAGGUUAAGUCCUAAAACGAGCGAAACCCUUAUCGUUAGUUGCCAGCACGUUAUGGUGGGGACUUUAACGAGACUGCCAAUGAUAAAUUGGAGGAAGGUGAGGAUCACGUCAAAUCAGCAUGCCCCUUAUGACCUGGGCUACAAACGUGAUACAAUGGCUGUUACAAAGGGUAGCUGAAACGCAAGUUCUUGGCCAAUCCCCAAAAACAGUCCCAGUCCGGAUUGAAGUCUGCAACUCG